UGUAUAAGAUUAUGACUAGUUAAAAAUAUUUCCUAUUGGUGGAAAGGUUAUGAUGCCAAGCCCUCUGAGAACAAUGUUGCUCUUUUUCUCUCUUUUUCCAGCAGGCUCACACAUCUGUGACAAUAGGGAGUAACUUCACCAAAGCCAACUGUUAAAACCAAUGUAAAAUUAAAGUGUGAACAGAACUAGACCAAGGGAGAAUUUGCCUGUGAAGUAAUAAAGCAGUCAGGCUUGUCAGGCAGCCUGGAUUUUAAGGACAUCCCUUAAGGCAGAAUCACAUCGCUCGGUAGCGAAGACAUCGACCGCAUCAGAGUCAAAAGCAGGCAGAUCAGGAACGCACACAUGCUUGUGAAGUUACAGAGCAAACUGUGCUUAAUUUCCAAGAUAUGUUGGAGCUCACACUCAGGGUGUGCUUAUUCAAUGAGUUUCCAGAAAAAGUAGCUUUAAACCAGCAUUUUAAAAACCUGGAAAUUCCUCGAGAUAAGCUAGAAUUUGCAAGAUAAACCCCGACUUGUGUGUGGAGUGGGUCCAAGGAUCUCGAAGGGACUUUGGGCACUACCAAUCCUCCAAGUCUAACACAGAAUGGUUGCUGAAGAAGAGGAGGAGGAGGAGGAGGAUUCAUGUUUUGGAGUGGUCAAGUCAAAGUCCCGACCUAAACCCGAUUGAAAUGUUGUGGCAAGACCUGAAGCGAGUUGUUCAUGCAAGGAAGUCCUCAAAUGUCACAGAGCUGAAACAGUUUAGUAUGGAAGAAUGGACCAAGAUUCCUCCAAGCUGAUGUGUGAGACUGAUCACCAGUUACAGAAAAAUGUUUAGUUGCAGUUAUUGCUGCUCAAGGAGGUGCUACAAGUUACUGAAUAAAGAGUUCACAUUCUUUUUCAAACAAG